AUGUUAGGAUGGCACUUUCUGAUUAGUUGCUUGAACCUCUCCCAUGCUUCAUAGAGGGAUUCACCCUCUUUUUGUCUGAAGGUCUGAAUUUUCACCCUAAGCUU